UACGUAGGGGGCAAGCGUUGUCCGGAUUUAUUGGGCGUAAAGAGCGUGUAGGCGGCCAGACAGGUCAGCUGUGAAAACUCGAGGCUCAACCUCGAGACGUCGGUUGAAACCGUCUGGCUAGAGUCCGGAAGAGGAGAGUGGAAUUCCGGGUGUAGCGGUGGAAUGCGUGGAGAUCCGGAGGAAGACCGGUGGCGAAGGCGGCCUGCUGGGCAGUUUCUGACACUGAUGCGCGACAGCGUGGGGAGCAAACAGG
rnacentral:rRNA from 1 species